AUGAUGGACUAUAGGACAGGACUGCUGCUUUUAACUCUCUGCUGGGCAGGUGUUGAUGGUCAGACUCUGACAGAAUCUGAAUCAGUUGUUAAAAGGCCUGGAGAAUCCCACAGACUGACCUGUACAGGUUCUGGAUUCACAUUCAGCAGCUACUGGAUGCACUGGAUCAGACAGGCUCCUGGAAAGGGACUGGAGUGGAUUGCUGCUGCUCAUGGUAGCAGCAAGUUCUACUCUCAGUCAGUCCAAGGCCGGUUUACCAUCUCCAGAGACGACAGCAGACAGCAGCUGUAUCUGCAGAUGAACAGUCUGAAGACUGAAGAUUCUGCUGUUUAUUAUUGUGCUCGAGACUCACAGUGA